GUGUCGCNACGAGAAGAGACGGCUAACUCUGUGCCAGCAGCCGCGGUAAUACGGAGGUCUCAAGGCGUAGUUCGGAAUCACUGGGCGUAAAGGGUGCGUNGGUGGCGUGGAAAGUCGGAUGUGAAAUCCGGGGGCUCAACCUCCGAAUUGCGUCCGAUACUCCCAUGCUGAGAACUGGAGGGGGAUCUGGAAUUCUCGGUGUAGCAGUGAAAUGCGUAGAUAUCGAGAGGAACACUAGUGGCGAAGGCGAGAUCCUGCAGAGUAUCUGACACUGAUGCACGAAGG
rnacentral:rRNA from 1 species